AUGAUGAUGCCGUUACUCUUGCACCAAACUCAGAUGUUACAACAGAGGACUAUGAUGAUGUCAUCUCCCCUGGACAGGACUCAGGAGGUGGUACAGGUGAGAAUACAGAUGCAGUUUAGGUGGAGCCCAUUAUAACAGAGUAUGAUAAACUGUACGACACAAAGGAAAGGCUUCAGACAGCGAAG